GUGAGGGAUGAAGCCUCGCGUUGUAAACUCUUUUCAGUAGGAAGAAGCGACUGGGUUCUUUUCAGACGUGCCGGUCCUGCAGAAGAAGCGCCGCUAAACUACGUGCCAGCAGCCGCGGUAAUACGUAGGGCGCAAGCCUUGUCCGGAAUUAUUGGGCGUAAAGAGGCUUGUAGGCGGUUUGUCGCGUCUGGUGUGAAAACUCAAGGCUCAACCUUGAGCUUGCAUCGGGUACGGGCAGACUAGAGUGUGGUAGGGGUGACUGGAAUUCCUGGUGUAGCGGUGGAAUGCGCAGAUAUCAGGAGGAANNNNNAUGGCGAAGGCAGGUCACNNNNNNNNNUACUGACGCUGAGGAGCGAAAGCAUGGGGAGCGAACAGGAUUAGAUACCCUGGUAGUCCAUGCCGUAAACGUUGGGCACUAGGUGUGGGGCUCAUUCCACGAGUUCCGCGCCGCAGCUAACGCAUUAAGUGCCCCGCCUGGGGAGUACGGCCGCAAGGCUAAAACUCAAAGGAAUUGACGGGGGCCCGCACAAGCGGCGGAGCAUGCGGAUUAAUUCGAUGCAACGCGAAGAACCUUACCAAGGCUUGACAUACACCGGAAUCGGCCAGAGAUGGUCGCGUCUUCGGACUGGUGUACAGGUGGUGCAUGGUUGUCGUCAGCUCGUGUCGUGAGAUGUUGGGUUAAGUCCCGCAACGAGCGCAACCCUCGUCCUAUGUUGCCAGCACGUCAUGGUGGGGACUCAUAGGAGACUGCCGGGGUCAACUCGGAGGAAGGCGGNGACGACG
rnacentral:rRNA from 1 species